CAUGUCUAUCUGAGAGUAAGCUGCCUCUCCAGCCCUCGUCCCAAGGCCAAACAGCUCAGUCCUUCCCUGUGUGUCUCUGGUGCCUUUCAAGCUGCCUCCCAUCCGCGCUUAGAGGGAACAAGUCCAAGGAGACAGGGCUUCCUGAUCUCAUGGGCUGUCGAAGUGCCUGGAGCCCACCCCAUCCCGUGUCACCCAGGAGCCUGGAGCAGCUGCCACGUCACCUGCAGGUCUCGGGGCUUCCACGAGCAGCUGAACCCCGUGGGUCUGCGCAUCUCCACAGCUCUGAGUGCAGGGGCUCCGCUGGGCUUCGCUGUGUCUUCUCGGGAAGAUUUCAGUCCAAAGUGAAGACUAAUGUUGCUUUAAGAGGACCAGGACUUGCGAGCUCGUCCUCAGUGGUGGCACCCCUAUGCAGAAGGCGCUGACCCGAACCCUUCAGCAUCCAGAAGAGGUACAGCUCUUACGACCUUCCUUCUUUUCCUUGGAGCUCAAGAAACAAGAGGCAUCAGAGAAGACAGUGAGAUUCUAAUACGUAAUUAAUUCACAUUUGUAAAGUAUAUUAUUCAAUA